UAGCAGAAUCUCGCAAUGUUGCUCCUAUGUCUGGUUGGGAAAUUUCCCAAUCCUGGAAGGAACUAAAGGGACCUAGGACCCUGAGCCAUCUCCAGACCUUCCAGGAAAUUCCACGGUCCAGGGUGCUGCUCCUAAUUAGCCCAGUGCUGUCUGGGUGAAGGCAGACGGCCUAAUUCCUUGUCAGCUCCCUCUCCCUAUUUCUGCGUGAAGUAUGCACGUCCUACUUUGCAAGAUUGUUGAGAGAACGGGAGCAGAGCUCAUUUAUAAGUAUUUCCAAAAAUCUACCACGGCGUUGCUUCGGGGAUGGAACAUUGCCACGUGGAGUCAGAUCGUUUCAGGUGAGCGCAGAGCUAGUUCACUCAGAAGAAGCAAGGAUGCUCAGAGCCUGUGAGAAGACAGCAUCCCUGCACAAGGUGCUCAAGCACGGAACCACAGGAGGAAGAUUCAGCCCACAGAGCUGCAGAGCUCCCCUCCUUGCAAGUGUGGGAAAAACAGAUAGCAAAGAUGCCGAAGUCUCCAGUCAGAGCCAUCCUGGGCACCACCGCCCAUAACGGAU